AAAAGCACGACAUUGCUCACAUUGCUUCCAGUAUUAUUUCGCCAGCUUAGAUGCUGGCUUUUUUUU
rnacentral:antisense_RNA from 2 species